UCCGGUUGAUCCUGCAGAGGAAACAGCUAUCGAGAUUCGACUAAGCCAUGCGAGUUGAAUGUUCUUCGUGAACAUGGCGGACUGCUCAGUAACACGUGGACAACCUACCCUUGGGUCUGGCAUAAUCCAGGGAAACUGGGGAUAAUUCCGGAUAGGCCACAGAUGCUGGAAUGCGCUGUGGCCGAAAGCUCCGGCGCCCAAGGAUGGGUCUGCGGCCUAUCAGGGUUGUAGUGGGUGUAAUGUACCUACUAGCCUACGACGGGUACGGGUUGUGAGAGCAAGAGCCCGGAGAUGGAUUCUGAGACACGAAUCCAGGCCCUACGGGGUGCAGCAGGCGCGAAAACUUUACAAUGCGGGAAACCGUGAUAAGGGAAUCUCGAGUGCCAGCAUAUAAUGUUGGCUGUCCAGAUGCCUAAAAAGCAUCUGUUAGCAAGGGCCGGGCAAGACCGGUGCCAGCCGCCGCGGUAACACCGGCGGCCCGAGUGGUAACCGCUUUUAUUGGGUCUAAAGGGUCUGUAGCCGGCCAAGUAAGUCCCUUGGGAAAUCUGGCAGCUUAACUGUCAGGCUGCUAGGGGAUACUGCUGGGCUUGGGACCGGGAGAGGUGAGAGGUACCUUGGGGGUAGGGGUGAAAUCUUGUGAUCCUCGGGGGACCACCAGUGGCGAAGGCGUCUCACCAGAACGGGUCCGACGGUAAGGGACGAAAGCUAGGGGCACGAACCGGAUUAGAUACCCGGGUAGUCCUAGCCGUAAACGAUGCUCGCUAGGUGUCAGUCACGGUGCGACCGUGAUUGGUGCCGUAGGGAAGCCGUGAAGCGAGCCACCUGGGAAGUAUGGGCCGCAAGGCUGAAACUUUAAAGGAUUGGCGGGGGGGAGCACUACACGGGUGGAGCUGCGUUAAAUUGGAUUCACGCCGAAAUCUCAACGGGGGCCGACAGCAUAUGAAGGUCAAGGCUGAGACUUACCCGAAUUAGCUGAAAAGUUGGUGCAAUGGCGUCGUCAGUCGUACUGUGAGACAUCCUGG
rnacentral:rRNA from 1 species